GACUCUCGACAAUGGAUAUCUCGGCUCUUGUCACGAUGAAGAAUGUAGCGAAAUGCGAUACUUAGUGUGAAUUGCAUAAUCCCGUGAAUCAUCGAGUUUUUGAAUGCAAUUUGCGCCAGAGGCCUCAGUCAAGGGCAUGUCUGUCUGGGUGUCA
rnacentral:rRNA from 1 species